GAUGAAGAACGCAGCGAAAUGCGAUAAGUAAUGUGAAUUGCAGAAUUCAGUGAAUCAUCGAAUCUUUGAACGCACAUUGCGCCCGCCAGAAUUCUGGCGGGCAUGCCUGUUCGGGCGUCAUUUCAACCCUCGAGCUCCCCUUGGGGAGCCCGGCGUUGGGGACCGGCAGUAACACCGCCGGCCCCGAAAUGGAGUGGCGGCCCCGCCCGCGGCGACCUCUGCGUAGUAAAUCCACUCGCACCGGGACCCGGGCGCGGCCACGCCGUAAAACACCCAACUUCCGAAUGUUGACCUCGAAUCAGGUAGGAAUACCCGCUGAACUUAAGCAUAUCAAUAAGCGGAGGA
rnacentral:misc_RNA from 1 species